GACAGAGGGGGCAAGCGUUGCUCGGAAUUACUGGGCGUAAAGGGCGCGUAGGCGGGAUGGCAAGUCGGUCGUGAAAUCCCUCGGCUCAACCGAGGAACGUCGAUCGAUACUGCUGUUCUUGAGGAUUGCAGAGGAGACUGGAAUUCCCGGUGUAGCGGUGAAAUGUGUAGAGAUCGGGAGGAACACCGGUGGCGAAGGCGGGUCUCUGGGCCGAUACUGACGCUGAGGAGCGAAAGCGUGGGGAGCGAUCCGG
rnacentral:rRNA from 1 species